AGUUCCGACGAGAUUCGGUGGGCAAAUGAGGGGGUUUAGUGCCGAAGGUCAUGUUAAUGGAAAACUGAUAAAAGGCUUGAUGAUUGUUUAAGUAUCAAGUAAGAUUUUUAGUUUGGUUGGUGAUAUUGUGCAAAUUAAUUCUUUAUGGCCUCAGAAUCGUUCAAGAUUUUCAUAUGCGUCGGCUUAUGGUGGAGAGCAAUUCUAGCACCAUUAUUAUUCCAGUUUAUGUAAACUAUAUAUUUUACACCUAAAUAAUGUGUAUCCAAAUUAUAUAAAAGAUGUAUAUUUUAUAUUUUUAUAGUUUGACAAUUUGAAAAUUGUAUUAUAUACAUACUGCAUUUGAUGUUUUUUAAACAUUUUUCAAUGUGUGUUA